GAUGGCAGACACACUGCGGGUGCUAACGCCCGUAGUGAAAAGGGAAACAACCCUGACCGACAGUUAAGGCCCCUAAUUCAUGGCUAAGUGGGAAAGCAGGUGGGACGACCAAAACAACCAGGAAGUUGGCUUAGAAGCAGCCAUCUUUUAAAGAUAGCGUAACAGCUCACUGGUCUAAUUAAGUUGUCCUGCGGCGAAGAUGUAACGGGGCUCAAGCCAUGAGCCGAAACUUCGGAUGCAUUUAAUGCAUGGUAGCGGAGCGUAGUGUGACAUAGUUCCAUGCGUCCUUCGUUUUAUAGCGGACUGCCCAGGCUUUCGAGCCUGUGUGGAGGCGCGUAAAAUACUGGACGCAAGGAGCUUUCUGUGAAGCCGGCCUGUGAGGGAUCCGGUGGAGAGAUCACUAGUGAGAAUGAUGACAUGAGUAACGACAAAGGGGGUGAGAGACCCCCUCGCCGAAAAUCCAAGGGUUCCUGCUUAAAGCUAAUCUGAGCAGGGUAAGCCGGCCCCUAAGCCGAGGGCGAAAGCCGUAGGCGAUGGGAACCAGGUUAAUAUUCCUGGGCCAGGAGGAAGUGACGGAUCACAAAGAUUGUUGGAUCAGGCGUAGUUGCCCCAGCAGUUCAGUGGUUCCUGGAAAUAGCCCUCCAUCAGACCGUACCCUAAACCGACACAGGUGGAUAGGUAGAGUAUACCAAGGCGCUUGAGAGAACUAUGUUGAAGGAACUCGGCAAAAUACCUCCGUAAGUUCGCGAGAAGGAGGCCCGGUUUCUAGGCAACUGGAAGCUGGGGGCACAAACCAGGGGGUGGCGACUGUUUACUAAAAACACAGGGCUCUGCGAAGUCGCAAGACGACGUAUAGGGUCUGACGCCUGCCCGGUGCCUGAAGGUUAAAAGGAGGGGUGAGAGCUCCGAAUUGAAGCCCAGGUAAACGGCGGCCGUAACUAUAACGGUCCUAAGGUAGCGAAAUUCCUUGUCGGGUAAGUUCCGACCUGCACGAAUGGCGUAACGACUUCCCCGCUGUCUCCAACAUAGACUCAGUGAAAUUGAAUUGCCUGUCAAGAUGCAGCUUCCCGCGGUUAGACGGAAAGACCCCGUGCACCUUUACUACAACUUUACACUGAUAACAGGCACAACAUGUGCAGAAUAGGUGGUAGGCUUUGAAGCAGAAACGCCAGUUUUUGUGGAGCCUCCUUUGAGAUACCACCCUUGUUUUGCUUGUUAUCUAACUGCGGUCCGUUAUCCGGAUCCAGGACCCUGUAUGGUGGGUAGUUUGACUGGGGCGGUCGCCUCCUAAAGCGUAACGGAGGCGCGCGAAGGUUGGCUCAGAGCGGUCGGAAAUCGCUCGUUGAGUGCAAUGGCAGAAGCCAGCCUGACUGCGAGACUGACAAGUCGAGCAGAGUCGAAAGACGGCCAUAGUGAUCCGGUGGUCCCGAGUGGAAGGGCCAUCGCUCAACGGAUAAAAGGUACGCCGGGGAUAACAGGCUGAUGGUGCCCAAGAGUCCAUAUCGACGGCACCGUUUGGCACCUCGAUGUCGGCUCAUCUCAUCCUGGGGCUGGAGCAGGUCCCAAGGGUACGGCUGUUCGCCGUUUAAAGAGGUACGUGAGCUGGGUUUAGAACGUCGUGAGACAGUUCGGUCCCUAUCUGCCGUGGGUGUAGGAUACUUGAGAGGAGUUGCCCCUAGUACGAGAGGACCGGGGUGAACGAUCCACUGGUGGACCAGUUGUCGACUACGGCAGUGCUGGGUAGCUAUGAUCGGACAGGAUAACCGCUGAAAGCAUCUAAGCGGGAAGCCCCCCUCAAAACAAGGUAUCCCUGAGGACCGAGGUAGACCACCUCGUCGAUAGGCCAGAGGUGUAAGCGUGGUAACACGUUCAGCUGACUGGUACUAAUGGUCCGAUAGGCUUGAUUUG
rnacentral:rRNA from 1 species